rnacentral:rRNA from 1 species
UGGCGGCAGGCCUAACACAUGCAAGUCGAGCGCGCCUUCGGGUGAGCGGCGGACGGGUUAGUAACGCGUGGGAACGUACCCUUCUCUACGGAAUAGCCUUUGGAAACGAAGAGUAAUACCGUAUACGCCCUUUGGGGGAAAGAUUUAUCGGAGAAGGAUCGGCCCGCGUUAGAUUAGAUAGUUGGUGGGGUAACGGCCUACCAAGUCUACGAUCUAUAGCUGGUUUUAGAGGAUGAUCAGCAACACUGGGACUGAGACACGGCCCAGACUCCUACGGGAGGCAGCAGUGGGGAAUCUUAGACAAUGGGGGCAACCCUGAUCUAGCCAUGCCGCGUGAGUGAUGAAGGCCUUAGGGUCGUAAAGCUCUUUCGCCUGUGAUGAUAAUGACAGUAGCAGGUAAAGAAACCCCGGCUAACUCCGUGCCAGCAGCCGCGGUAAUACGGAGGGGGUUAGCGUUGUUCGGAAUUACUGGGCGUAAAGCGCGCGUAGGCGGAUUAGAAAGUUGGGGGUGAAAUCCCGGGGCUCAACCCCGGAACUGCCUCCAAAACUGCUAGUCUAGAGUUCGAGAGAGGUGAGUGGAAUUCCGAGUGUAGAGGUGAAAUUCGUAGAUAUUCGGAGGAACACCAGUGGCGAAGGCGGCUCACUGGCUCGAUACUGACGCUGAGGUGCGAAAGUGUGGGGAGCAAACAGGAUUAGAUACCCUGGUAGUCCACACCGUAAACGAUGAAUGCCAGUCGUCGGAUAGUAUACUAUUCGGU